GGGAUAAUUAUUGGGCCUUAAAGUGUCCGUAGCCGGUUUAGUAAGUUCCUGGUAAAACCGGGCAGCUUAACUGUCCGUAUGCUAGGAAUACUGCUAUGCUAGAGGGCGGGAGAGGUCUGAGGUACUACAGGGGUAGGGGUGAAAUCUUAUAAUCCUUGUAGGACCACCAGUGGCGAAAGCGUCAGACUGGAACGCGCCUGACGGUGAGGGACGAAAGCCAGGGGAGCGAACCGGAUUAGACACCCGGGUAGUCCUGGCCGUAAACGAUGCAUACUAGGCAAUGGUGCGGCCAUGAGCCGCAUCAGUACCGUAGGGAAACCGUUAAGUGUGCCGCCUGGGAAGUACGGUCGCAAGGCUAAAACUUAAAGGAAUUGGCGGGGGAGCACCACAAGGGGUGAAGCCUGCGGUUCAAUUGGACUCAACGCCGGGAAACUUACCAGGGGAGACAGCAGAAUGACAGUCAGGUUGACGACCUUACUCGACGAGCUGAGAGGAGGUGCAUGGCCGUCGCCAGUUCGUGCUGUGAGGUAUCCUGUUAAGUCAGGCAACGAACGAGAUCCGCGCCUUUAUUUGCCAUCAAGAAGUCACGACUUCGUUGGGAACACUAAAGGGACCGCCGUCGAUAAGACGGAGGAAGGAGCGGGCAAAGGCAGGUCAGUAUGCCCCGAAACCCCUGGGCUACACGCGGGCUGCAAUGGUGCGAACAAUGGGCUGUAACUCCGAAAGGAGAAACCAAUCCCGAAAUCGCAUCUCAGUGGGGAUUGUCGACUGUAACUCGUUGACAUGAACGUGGAAUCCCUAGUAAUCGCGUGUCACCAUCGCGCGGUGAAUAGUCUCUGCUCCU
rnacentral:rRNA from 1 species